UGUUUAAAGAAUCUCCAACACUUCGAAACAAUAUGGAUUCCAUACCACUUCAACAAUCACUGGAUAGUCAUAGGUGUCGAUGUCGGGAUGAACAUGGCAUGGAUUUGUGAUUCUGCAGAUUUUGACCCUCACACAUAUAAAGACUUCAUGUCAAUUCUCAUUACGGCAUUCAGGGCCUAUGUCAAGAAUCACAAAGGAAGGCAUGAUCCAGGUCUGGGGAGCCACUUGUGUUUCAAAUCUCUAUGUUCGUUUCCCAAGCAAAGGCCAGGGAGUCUGCAUUGUGGAUACUAUGUAUGUGCUUUCAUCAGUAAUAC